ACAUCCAGAGAACUUAGCAGAGAUGCUUUGGUGCCUUCGGGAACUCUGAGACAGGUGCUGCAUGGCUGUCGUCAGCUCGUGUUGUGAAAUGUUGGGUUAAGUCCCGCAACGAGCGCAACCCUUAUCCUUUGUUGCCAGCGGCUCGGCCGGGAACUCAAAGGAGACUGCCGGUGAUAAACCGGAGGAAGGUGGGGAUGACGUCAAGUCAUCAUGGCCCUUACGGCCGGGGCUACACACGUGCUACAAUGGCGCAUACAAAGAGAAGCGACCUCGCGAGAGCAAGCGGACCUCAUAAAGUGCGUCGUAGUCCGGAUUGGAGUCUGCAACUCGACUCCAUGAAGUCGGAAUCGCUAGUAAUCGUAGAUCAGAAUGCUACGGUGAAUACGUUCCCGGGCCUUGUACACACCGCCCGUCACACCAUGGGAGUGGGUUGCAAAAGAAGUAGGUAGCUUAACCUUCGGGAGGGCGCUUACCACUUUGUGAUUCAUGACUGGGGUGAAGUCGUAACAAGGUAAGCGUAGCGAG
rnacentral:rRNA from 1 species